rnacentral:rRNA from 1 species
CGAACGGGUGAGUAACACGUGGGCAACCUGCCCAAAAGAGGGGGAUAACACUUGGAAACAGGUGCUAAUACCGCAUAACCAUAGUUACCGCAUGGUAACUAUGUAAAAGGUGGCUAUGCUACCGCUUUUGGAUGGGCCCGCGACGCAUUAGCUAGUUGGUGGGGUAAAGGCUUACCAAGGCAAUGAUGCGUAGCCGAACUGAGAGGUUGAUCGGCCACAUUGGGACUGAGACACGGCCCAAACUCCUACGGAAGGCAGCAG